rnacentral:lncRNA from 1 species
CAAUUACCCAUCAAGGGUAUUUCAGACAAUCUAAUAAUACUUGGAGCCUAUUUGAUAUUGUUGUUAAACAUGAGUUAUUUGAGAAAUACUUUUAUAAAAUAGCUUUUUAGAAAAGUAUUUUUUUUAAAAAUAAUUUGUGUUUGAUAAAUUCAUUUGAAAAUUGCUUUUGAUAAACAAAUUGUGUUCGAACAAUCCUUUUUAAGAAGUUCUUUUGAGAGAGAAAUGACCAAACAGGAC